GGGUUGUGAGGUUAAGCGACUAAGCGUACACGGUGGAUGCCCUGGCAGUCAGAGGCGAUGAAGGACGUGCUAAUCUGCGAUAAGCGUCGGUAAGGUGAUAUGAACCGUUAUAACCGGCGAUUUCCGAAUGGGGAAACCCAGUGUGAUUCGUCACACUAUCAUUAACUGAAUCCAUAGGUUAAUGAGGCGAACCGGGGGAACUGAAACAUCUAAGUACCCCGAGGAAAAGAAAUCAACCGAGAUUCCCCCAGUAGCGGCGAGCGAACGGGGAGCAGCCCAGAGCCUGAAUCAGUGUGUGUGUUAGUGGAAGCGUCUGGAAAGGCGUGCGAUACAGGGUGACAGCCCCGUACACAAAAAUGCACAUACUGUGAGCUCGAUGAGUAGGGCGGGACACGUGGUAUCCUGUCUGAAUAUGGGGGGACCAUCCUCCAAGGCUAAAUACUCCUGACUGACCGAUAGUGAACCAGUACCGUGAGGGAAAGGCGAAAA
rnacentral:rRNA from 1 species